GAUGAACGCUGGCGGCGUGCCUAAUACAUGCAAGUCGAGCGAACGGACGAGAAGCUUGCUUCUCUGAUGUUAGCGGCGGACGGGUGAGUAACACGUGGAUAACCUACCUAUAAGACUGGGAUAACUUCGGGAAACCGGAGCUAAUACCGGAUAAUAUUUUGAACCGCAUGGUUCAAAAGUGAAAGACGGUCUUGCUGUCACUUAUAGAUGGAUCCGCGCUGCAUUAGCUAGUUGGUAAGGUAACGGCUUACCAAGGCAACGAUGCAUAGCCGACCUGAGAGGGUGAUCGGCCAAACUGGAACUGAGACACGGUCCAGACGCCUACGGGAGGAAGCAGUAGGGAAGCUUCCGCAAUGGGCGAAAGCCUGACGGAGCAACGCCGCGUGAGUGAUGAAGGUCUUCGGAUAGUAAAACUCUGUUAUUAGGGAAGAACAUAUGUGUAAGUAACUGUGCACAUCUUGACGGUACCUAAUCAGAAAGCCACGGCUAACUACGUG
rnacentral:rRNA from 1 species